rnacentral:miRNA from 1 species
AGUGUUUGGGGGCCUGGGAGGGUGGCCCUGAAGUCAUCAGCCUGCCCUGGCCAACCCCUACAG